rnacentral:rRNA from 1 species
GUUGUAAACCUCUUUUAGCAGGGAAGAAGCGAAAGUGACGGUACCUGCAGAAAAAGCGCCGGCUAACUACGUGCCAGCAGCCGCGGUAAUACGUAGGGCGCAAGCGUUAUCCGGAAUUAUUGGGCGUAAAGAGCUCGUAGGCGGUUUGUCGCGUCUGCUGUGAAAUCCCGAGGCUCAACCUCGGGUCUGCAGUGGGUACGGGCAGACUAGAGUGCGGUAGGGGAGAUUGGAAUUCCUGGUGUAGCGGUGGAAUGCGCAGAUAUCAGGAGGAACACCGAUGGCGAAGGCAGAACUCUGGGCCGUUACUGACGCUGAGGAGCGAAAGGGUGGGGAGCAAACAGGCAUAGAUACCCUGGUAGUCCACCCCGUAAACGUUGGGAACUAGUUGUGGGGUCCAUUCCACGGAUUCCGUGACGCAGCUCACGCAUUAAGUUCCCCGCCUGGGGAGUACGGCCGCAAGGCUAAAACUCAAAGGAAUUGACGGGGACCCGCACAAGCGGCGGAGCAUGCGGAUUAAUUCGAUGCAACGCGAAGAACCUUACCAAGGCUUGACAUAUACGAUAACGGGCCAGAAAUGGUCAACUCUUU